rnacentral:rRNA from 1 species
UGGGGAAUAUUGCACAAUGGGCGAAAGCCUGAUGCAGCGACGCCGCGUGCGGGAUGACGGCCUUCGGGUUGUAAACCGCUUUCGGCAGGGAAGAAGCCGUAAGGUGACGGUACCUGCAGAAGAAGCCACGGCUAACUACGUGCCAGCAGCCGCGGUAAUACGUAGGUGGCAAGCGUUGUCCGGAUUUACUGGGCGUAAAGGAUGCGUAGGCGGAUACUUAAGUCAGAUGUGAAAAUCCCGGGCUUAACUUGGGAACUGCAUUUGAAACUGGGUAUCUAGAGUGCGGGAGAGGACAGUGGAAUUCCUAGUGUAGCGGUGAAAUGCGUAGAGAUUAGGAAGAACACCAGUGGCGAAGGCGACUUUCUGGACCGUAACUGACGCUGAGGCAUGAAAGCGUGGGGAGCAAACA